GGAUGUAAUAGAUUUGCCCGGGCCAUG
rnacentral:piRNA from 1 species